rnacentral:rRNA from 1 species
CAGUAGCCGCGGUAAUACGUAGGGUGCAAGCGUUAAUCGUAAUUACUGGGCGUAAAGCGUGCGCAGGCGGUUAUAUAAGACAGAUGUGAAAUCCCCGGGCUCAACCUGGGAACUGCAUUUGUGACUGUAUAGCUAGAGUACGGCAGAGGGGGAUGGAAUUCCGCGUGUAGCAGUGAAAUGCGUAGAUAUGCGGAGGAACACCGAUGGCGAAGGCAAUCCCCUGGGCCUGUACUGACGCUCAUGCACGAAAGCGUGGGGAGCAAACAGGAUUAGAUACCCGAGUAGUCCCUGUCUCUUAUAC